rnacentral:rRNA from 1 species
GACGAACGCUGGCGGCGUGCUUAACACAUGCAAGUCGAACGGAAAGGCCCUGCUUUUGUGGGGUGCUCGAGGGGCGAACGGGUGAGUAACACGUGAGUAACCUGCCCUUGACUUUGGGAUAACUUCAGGAAACUGGGGCUAAUACCGGAUAGGAGCUCCUGCUGCAGGGUGGGGGUUGGAAAGUUUCGGCGGUUGGGGAUGGACUAGCGGCUUAUCAGCUUGUUGGUGGGGGAGUGGCUUACCAAGGCUUUGACGGGUAGCCGGCCUGAGAGGGUGACCGGCCACCUUGGGCCUGAGAUACGGCCCAGACUCGUACGGGGGGCAGCAGUGGGGAAUAUUGCACAGUGGGCGGAAGCCUGAUGCAGCAACGCCGCGUGCGGGAUGACGGCCUUCGGGUUGUAAACCGCUUUCGCCUGUGACGAAGCGUGAGUGACGGUAAUGGGUAAAGAAGCACCGGCUAACUACGUG